AUUGAACGCUGGCGGCAUGCCUUACACAUGCAAGUCGAACGGUAACAGGUCUUCGGAUGCUGACGAGUGGCGAACGGGUGAGUAAUACAUCGGAACGUGCCCGAUCGUGGGGGAUAACGAAGCGAAAGCUUUGCUAAUACCGCAUACGAUCUACGGAUGAAAGCGGGGGAUCUUCGGACCUCGCGCGGACGGAGCGGCCGAUUGCAGAUUAGGUAGUUGGUGGGAUAAAAGCUUACCAAGCCGACGAUCUGUAGCUGGUCUGAGAGGAUGAUCAGCCACACUGGGACUGAGACACGGCCCAGACUCCUACGGGAGGCAGCAGUGGGGAAUUUUGGACAAUGGGCGCAAGCCUGAUCCAGCCAUGCCGCGUGCAGGAUGAAGGCCUUCGGGUUGUAAACUGCUUUUGUACGGAACGAAAAGGUGCCUUCUAAUAAAGGGCGCUCAUGACGGUACCGUAAGAAUAAGCACCGGCUAACUACGUG
rnacentral:rRNA from 1 species